UACGUAGGGUGCGAGCGUUGUCCGGAAUUAUUGGGCGUAAAGAGCUUGUAGGCGGUUUGUCGCGUCUGCUGUGAAAAUCCGGGGCUCAACCCCGGACUUGCAGUGGGUACGGGUAGACUAGAGUGUGGUAGGGGAGACUGGAAUUCCUGGUGUAGCGGUGGAAUGCGCAGAUAUCAGGAGGAACACCGAUGGCGAAGGCAGGUCUCUGGGCCACUACUGACGCUGAGAAGCGAAAGCAUGGGGAGCGAACAGG
rnacentral:rRNA from 1 species